AGCAGUGGGGAAUCUUGGACAAUGGGGGCAACCCUGAUCCAGCCAUGCCGCGUGAGUGAUGAAGGCCUUAGGGUCGUAAAGCUCUUUCGCCUGUGAAGAUAAUGACUGUAGCAGGUAAAGAAACCCCGGCUAACUCCGUGCCAGCAGCCGCGGUAAUACGGAGGGGGUUAGCGUUGUUCGGAAUUACUGGGCGUAAAGCGCGCGUAGGCGGACUGGAAAGUUGGGGGUGAAAUCCCAGGGCUCAACCCUGGAACUGCCUCCAAAACUAUCAGUCUAGAGUUCGAGAGAGGUGAGUGGAAUUCCGAGUGUAGAGGUGAAAUUCGUAGAUAUUCGGAGGAACACCAGUGGCGAAGGCGRCA
rnacentral:rRNA from 1 species